rnacentral:misc_RNA from 1 species
UUGACCUCGGAUCAGGUAGGGAUACCCCGCUGAACUUAAGCAUAUCAUAAAGGCGGAAGAAA